rnacentral:rRNA from 1 species
UGGGGAAUAUUGGACAAUGGGGGCAACCCUGAUCCAGCGACGCCGCGUGUGUGAAGAAGGCCUGCGGGUUGUAAAGCACUUUUAGUGGGGAUGAAAAGCUCAGGGCUAAUACCUCUGGGUCUUGACCUAACCCACAGAAAAAGCACCGGCUAACUCUGUGCCAGCAGCCGCGGUAAUACAGAGGGUGCGAGCGUUAAUCGGAAUUACUGGGCGUAAAGCGUACGUAGACGGUCAGAUAAGUCGGGUGUGAAAGCCCCGGGCUCAACCUGGGAAUUGCAUUCGAGACUGUCUGGCUAGGGUGCGGAAGAGGGAAGCAGAAUUCCCGGUGUAGCGGUGAAAUGCGUAGAUAUCGGGAGGAAUACCAGUGGCGAAAGCGGCUUCCUGGUCCAGCACCGACGUUCAGGUACGAAAGCAUGGGGAGCAAACAGGAUUAGAUACCCCCGUAGUCC